GGGGUUGUGGGCUCAGCGGUAGAGCUCUUGCCUAGCAUGCAUGAGGCUCUGGGUUCAAUCCCCAGCACCA
rfam:Ictidomys tridecemlineatus contig002174, whole genome shotgun sequence.